CUUCAGCGAGCCCAGGUACAGCGGUCGGCCCUCGGGGCGCUCCUGCCCGUAGGUGGCCAGGAGGGCCUGCGCCUC
rnacentral:antisense_RNA from 1 species